CUACGUACAGCGUGUUGGGUCGGUAAUUUCAAUCGACAUCACUAUAAAACAAAACUGUUCUGUAAAUGUGCAUUCUGUAAGCGAUCAUUUGAAUAAAACGACUGAAAGGCAAUAGGUAUAAUUUACACGUAGUCCCCUGAACUCGCUAGAUAGAGCCCACAGGGGGAGAGAGACCGAAAGCGAUCGAGCAGGAAAUGAUCAGCAGGAGGAAGUAGCAUGCUUGAAACAAAAAAUCAAUGAGAUGAUUCCAAAGAAUUGACGCUAGGUAAGUAGGUAACCCCUUAUUGUUUCCUCUCCAUAUCAGUCAUGCUGUUUCAAAAGUCGAGUAGUUUUAAUUUUAGACAUAUUUUUCCAUCCAUCCAGUUUCUUCGCCGCUUAUCCUCACCAGGGUUGCGGGGAGUGCUGGAGCCUAUCCCAGCUGUCAAUGGGCAGUAGGCAGGGUGCACCCUGAACUGAUUGCCAGCCAAUCGCAGGGCACAUCGAGACAAACAGCCGCACUCACAAUCACCCCUAGGGGCGAUUUAGAGUGUCCAAUUAAUGUUGCAUAUUUUUGGGAUGUGGGAGGAAACCGGAGAGCCCGGAGAAAACCCAUCCAGGCACGGGGAGAAUAUGCAAACUCCACACAGGCGGGUCCGGGAUUGAACUCGGGACCUCUGAACUGUGAGGCCAACGCUUUACCAGCUGAGCUGUGCCGCCCAGACAUAUGUUUCAGUGGAUGAAUUUCAUUUGUACUAAUACGAAAGUUAAGAUAAGAUAUCAUGGUGUUGACAGUUCUAUUAUGUAAUGGAAAACAUAUAAAUUGCAAUUGUAAGACGAGAUUCCAUGUAAAGUUAAAAACCAUUUACCAAAUUGAAGGUUGGCUAUUAAUAAAGAACAUAUACUGUAUAAAGUUAACACAAUCCAAGCUAUAACAACUAGAUUUCAUUUCACAACAUGGUUUUGCAAUCUCCCAUUUGUGUCAUGAGAGCCAACUAAUCUGUCAGAAAUGUUCAUUCCAAAAAACCCCAGAGUGUUACGAGAACAGGGUAAAAACAUGUACAGUCAGUACAAAACUACAGUAAAUAUAAUAAAGAGGGUGGUUAAGGUCAAAUCAAAGUAAAUUCCAUGGUCUGGAAAUUGGUUCUGGAAGUGUGAAGGAAGUUUUUCUGUGCAGAACGUGGUUUCCUGGGUUUUCCGGGGUGAUGAGUGAAUGAGAUCCUGGCUCAGCUGUUCUGUGCUUAUUUAUUGCCUAGUUACCGAUGCAAUCAGUGUCAGAAUGGCCGACAAUCAUACAUUCAAAAUGCUACAUCGUGACCCAGUCAAAGUUAUGACUUAUCACAUUUGCCUGUUCCUGUGCCUGUGGGCGUUGGGGAUUCUGCUACAAAGUCAACAUGGUGUGAAUUUCUCCAGUUCCCCUGUGACCAGUGUGUUAAGACAUCAGUGCUGGGAUAGGGUCCAGCAUUCCCGCAAUCCUUGUGAGGAUAAGAGUCUUGGAAAAUGGAUGGAUGGAUGGAUGGAUGGAUGGAUGAAAUCACAGCAUUUCCUGACUUGCUAUCUGUAGAUUACGGAACAUUGCAUCACUUUAGCCCAAGACGACGUCACUAUCUUCAAAGCCUGACCCUCUUGAAUGUGAAAGGAACUGCUCUGCAUCCUUGUCAAGAACCUCCGGUACGGGGGCGGAGGCAAAUGCAGGACUUCGAGGCAGAGGCAUAAUGUUCAACGUAGUUUAUGCCGGAAACUAGGUCAGACACGGUGUAGCAGUCCGACAAGGCAGAGGCACAGAAAUGUGAGGCUAGGCGGGAUCCAAGAGACAUGCAGCAAGGGUUCGAUGACUCUGAAGCAAACUAACUAACUCAACCGUUCAGGAUUAAACAAAAGGGCACAGAAUCAGUGUGACUUGGGUUACUCUAACUUACGCAUAGAAGCGGAGAGUCCCACAGGCAGUGAAUGCAACUCACUAACACACAGCAACAAACUGGCAAACACCUGUGACAAAAACUGCAACUUAAAUGCCUGUCUAAUUAGAGUCUGCAUAUGAAACAGCUGUGACCGGUGACAGGUUUCACCGCCCAGAACAGUGGCGUGGCCACGCCCCUCUUGGCGGUGACCAAGCCUUGCUCAUGACAAUCCUGGCUUCCAAAUGAUCUUGUGGUUCAAUGUUUUGCACUUGGGUCCUUAAACACCCUCACCACAUAGGACAGUGGUCCCUAUUCUUACGUGUGCCGCAAUUUCUGGGUUUUUACGGGGAGUGUGAAGAACUAUAUUUAUAAUAUGAUACUGCAUGUACUCUACCUACGGCUAAAAAGAGAAGCGCGCAGUAUCUGUCACUGAAAUAAACGAGUGCAGUCAAGGAAUGCCAAGAGCCUCUCAAAUAUGCACAACCUUUCCUAUAUUUAUCACCCGUUUCCUCUCUUUGAAUUAUUAUACAGUAAUAUAGCUGCAGCGGCCAGGGCAGUAUCCAUCUCCCUUGACAACUGUGACAUGCUGUUUGUGCUUCCAUAACAACAACAAAAAAAUGCGGUCGUAUUUAUGAUGCUUCAAAACAUUGCAUCAAAUAAGAAUGACAGGGGUAGCAGUUUUUCCACUGCCGCGAGUUGCUACGUGGUCAAAGGUCACUUGUUAGGUUUGUGGGUGUAAGUCGCCAACUCUAAUUUGUUCGACGUUGUUCAAUUUAGUCACGUUUGUUUGGAAUGGAACAAUUCACUUUCUUUGUAAUGGGAAUAAUGGGAAUAGUUGAUGAAGCGAACAUUUUGCACGUCAACUCGCAUCACGGUAUAAAUUGUUUCCAUUUGGAUUAAAAUCGUGCAGUUGAGUGUUUAGUACCGGUAGACGGCGGGCUGUUUUAUUCCAGUGUUUCUCCUUCCCUCCUGCUUCUGGCCUGCUGUCAGUUGGCUGCAAGCAGGCAGUGAUGCAGCAAAUCAUUAACACGCUUUGACACGCCGCUUUGGGCGAAGGCUCGCUCGCCAAGCUUUGACUGACAAGCGGCGCGUCGGGGUCUCAAAUGGCGAUGCUCUCGUCUUUUUUCUGCUCUUGUACCGCACGCUUUCGCCGCUUUGUUUUUGCUCGGGUUUGGCCUCUGCUCCUGUUUUGCUACAGAAGGACGCCGGCGAAGAACAUACUGAGAGCUGUGAGCCCUCCUCGACAAACAAACCCACGCUCCCUGUGGCCCUCCCCGAUGCCUCCUGUUUCCCUUUUAUGCCCUAUCCUUCCCUUUGCAGAGAGCAGAGCGUUUCCCAGAAUUUGUGCAGAUGCGAGUGAGCCGUUGCCCAAGCUGCGAAACGCAAGCGCCGCUGACUCCUUUACGCCCCAACGGCACCCCACGAGCUCCCGCGCAACAUCCUCCACAAUUAGGGCUGUGAUAGAAUCCACCUUAAUGAGACGACUGCAAUGCUGCUGUUACGGGAAAAAUACGUGACCCAUCAGAAUUUGUGACCCCCGGAGGCGACGUCCGUUUGAGAGUUUGACAGCAAAAGAGAAGAAGAAUCCUGUGAGUGUGUACUGUUCAAGUCAUGAGAUGAAAUCAAUACGCCGUAAUGACUUCAGGUUGUUCGAAGUCUUGAAGUGGAAGUUUGGACGACACGAUGUCGGUACAGGAUCCCCGUGGAGGCCCCAUGGUGAGAAUGGAUGACUGCGUGCAUUGGCUGUGGCCCGGGACAGAAAGCCGAAUCCAACACUAUCAGAACCAUCAGAACCUUAGCGGGCAUCCAGAAAGGUCGAUACGCUCAAAAGAAUUAAUGGAGGAGAACCAUCUACUGAUACAUCAAUGUGACACACUUCAAGUUUUCUGAGUCACUGCCAAGUGGUGAUAUUGUGAUGUUUCUCCUCUCAUCCGAGCAGGCUUCAUCAAUACCUGCAUCAGGUCUUAGUUAGGCCGCACUAGCCAGUGUUUGUGUGGAUACCCAUUCAAGUAAAACUCCCUUCCAGUCACACCAGGACAAUUUCUUCUUUGGAUUCUGGUAGAAUGAUUUGGGUGAUGGACUUUAAUGACAUCCACAUGAGAUGUUAACCCUGAUAUCAUCUUGGUAAUGUUUUCCUCCGCCUCUUUUCUUCAGAGGAUGCAGACUCGAAUAUUUAGCUUGUGUGUCUUCCCCUUGCUUGUGUGAGGUUUCUUCGGAUUCUCCGAUUUCCUCCAACAUUCAAAAACAUGCAUGUUAGGUUCACUGUCACUGACUCUAAAUAAGGGGUGCUCAAUACGUCGAUCGCGAUUGACCGAUCACGAGGCAGUCUUGGUCAAUCACAGGACGGCGUAACCCAAAAAAAAAAAAAAGACGUCAGCCAAUGUUCCCUCUAAACUGCGCACAUGCGCAAUUGUGCACCGCUAAUGCAGUCUCCUCGCAUAUAUUCUGCGUUGCGUGCAAAAAAAAAAAAAAAAAAAAAAUCAGAUGCAAAUUGAAAGUAUAAAAUACAGCUAUUCAAUUUGUGGCAUUUUGCAAUAUGAUUCAAUGAGUAAAAAGUCUGGCCACCCCUGCUAUCCAUAGUCCUUAGCUCUGAGCGUUUGUUUGUCUGUAUUAUGUAGCCUGUGACUGGACGGGGGACCAGUUCGGGGUGUGCCCAACCUCUGGCUCAAAACUAUGAUAUGCUCCAGCUCACCAAUGACCCUAAUAAGGAUUCAAGCUGUAAAAAGUUGACACUAUCCAAGGUGCUUAAGGUUUCUAACCAU